rnacentral:rRNA from 1 species
UACGUAGGCAGCAAGCGUUGUUCGGAAUUACUGGGCGUAAAGAGUGUGUAGGCGGUGUUCCAAGUCUGGUGUGAAAUCUCCCGGCUUAACUGGGAGGGUGCAUUAGAAACUGGAAUGCUAGAGGAUGGGAGAGGUAAGCGGAAUUCCUGGUGUAGCGGUGAAAUGCGUAGAUAUCAGGAGGAACACCUGUGGUGUAGACAGCUUACUGGACCAUUUCUGACGCUCGAUGCACGAAAGCGUGGGAGCAAACAGG